rnacentral:rRNA from 1 species
UACGUAGGGGGCAAGCGUUGUCCGGAAUCAUUGGGCGUAAAGCGCGUGUAGGCGGCUAGAUAAGUCUGCUCUGAAAGCCCGGGGCUCAACCCCGGGAGGCGGGUGGAUACUGCUGAGCUCGAGUCCGGAAGAGGCGAGUGGAAUUCCUGGUGUAGCGGUGAAAUGCGCAGAUAUCAGGAGGAACACCGAUGGCGAAGGCAGCUCGCUGGGACGGUACUGACGCUGAGACGCGAAAGCGUGGGGAGCAAACAGG